rnacentral:tRNA from 1 species
GCGGGUGUGGCGGAAUUGGCAGACGCGCAUGGUUCAGGUCCAUGUGAGUGUAUACUCAUGAAGGUUCAAGUCCUUUCACCCGCACCA